UUUCUUGCCACAGGAAGGUAGAAUGUUAAGGAAGAGAUACUUUGCUUUGGAAACAAACCCCACAAUCAAACACCCCUAGGAAAAGGAUCUGGGCCAGGAGGAAGACAAGGAGGGAGCCAUGUGGUUUGGAGGCUGGGUGCGGUUUAGAAUGUUCCAGUUAAACGGUCCUUUGCGGCCAGAGGGACAGGUGAGGUGAUGAGCCAGGCACCUGGACCCGCAGCAGAACAAGACCAUCAUGCCACCUGACUGCUCAAGUCCUUCCAGAGAGCAGGGCUGAAAAUCACUUGAGCCAGGCUCGUAUUGCUCCUGCAUCCCACAGGCUGAGUUCCAAGGGAAGUGGUCCUCUCCUGUCCUGAGUGGUCAUCUCUUGUCCUGAGUGGUCAUCUCCUGUCCUGAGUGGUCAUCUCCUGUCCUGCUCACCUGCUCUGUGACUAACUAAGAUGAAGGAGACUUCAUUGGUCAGUUCCCUGCUGAGUCUCAAAGCCAAGACAAGCAAUUACGGUGCAUAUUUAACAUAUCAAAGUGGACCUGGCUGCCAUGUUGUCCCAGCAUCCCUCAGUCCCUAUCUGUUAACAGGGUGUAGCUGGCAUACACUGCCCUCUACCCUGAACUCUUCAGCCCAGGCUCUGGGCUGCCCUUCCCCCGAGAGGCUCUUCCCUACAUAAUCCAGCUAUUUUGGUACCUGCCCCUUUUGUAUCUGUGGCCUCUUAGAUGCUGUUCCUGUUCCUCUCUCACCUCCCCCACCCCAGCCUCUUCCUUUCUCCUUACAAGGUUCAGGGCCAUGAUCCCUCCCAGAUGUGUCUGCCUCUGGCAAUGCUCUCUCUUUAUCUACAAUAAACUUUCUCCUCUGCCAUAUCUGGGAACAGUCAGUCAUGUCCUUUCCCUUUUUCUUUCUCUCUCUCUUUCUCUUUUCUUUCCUUUUCCUUUUUUCUUUUUUCAUGUGUUACCUUCUUGGGUUUGAUGUCAGGUUUGAAUUGACCCAGAGGGGGGCUGUGAGUCUCAGCUUCUUUUGCAUCUCUUAGGUACAACGAACCUGAAAGAGCUCACUGUUGUAGAGGAAUGUGUCACCCAUUUCCUUGAUGUACUGAGGGGUAAACUGAAGUGCAAACCUCAGCUUGCUGUCAACUCUCAAACCCUGGCUCUUGGCUAAUAGU
rnacentral:lncRNA from 1 species